ensembl:misc_RNA Metazoa_SRP Metazoan signal recognition particle RNA
GCCGGGCAUGGUGGCGCAUGCCUGUAAUCCCAGCUACUUGGUAGGCUGAGGCAGGAGAAUCACUUGAACCCAGGAGGCAGAGGUUGCAGUGAGCCGAGAUCACGCCACACUGCACUCCAGCCUGGGUGACAGAGUGAGACUCCGUCUCAA